CAUUGGAAUGCCUUCAAACACUCUCUUGUUAUGGUUGUUCGAAGAUGAAGAGUUUUCCGGAAAUCAAGGGUAAUAUGGGAAGUCUAAGAGAACUUGAUUUAAGUGAAACAGAUAUAAUAGAAGUACCAUCAUCAAUCAGGCAUCUACAUGGGCUUAAAACCUUGAAGUUAAGUGAUUGCUUAAACCUUGUGAGUCUUCAGGUCGGUAUUUGUAGUUUGAGCUCUCUUCAAACUCUUUUGAUGGAUGGGAGUUUAGAACUAAAGGCCUUUCUAGAUAUCAAUAUUGGAAGUCUAAAAGCCCUUGAAUGGUUAGAUUUGUCAUAUUGCGAAAACCUUGAGAGUCUUCCGGAUAGUAUUUGUAGUUUGACCUCUCUUCAAACUCUUUUGCUGAAUGGGUGUUCAAAACUGAAAGCCUUUCCAUACAUCAAUAUUGGAAGCCUCAAAGCUCUUGAAUUGUUAGCUUUGUCAUAUUGCGAAAACCUUGAGAGUCUUCCGGACAGUAUUUGUAAUUUGACAUCUCUUCAAACUCUCAUGUUAAAAGAGUGUUCAAAAUUGAAGGGCUUUCCAGAUAUCAAUAUUGGAAGUCUAAAAGCUCUUAAAUUGUUAGAUUUGUCAUAUUGCGAAAACCUGACAGUAUUUGUAGUUUGACCUCUCUUCAAACUCUUUUGCUGAAUGGGUGUUCAAAAUUGAAGGCUUUUCCGGAUAUUAAUAUUGCAAAUCUAAAAGCUCUUGAAUUGUUAGAUUUUUCAUAUUGUGAAAACUUUGGGAGUCUUCCAGAUAGGAUUUGUAGCUUAACCUCUCUUCAAACUCUUUUGUUGAAAAAGUGUUCAAAAUUGAAGGCCUUUCCAGAUAUCAAUAUUGGAAGUCUAAAAGCUCUUAAAUUGUUAGAUUUGUCAUAUUGCGAAAACCUUAAGAGUCUUCCAGACAGUAUUUGUAGUUUGACCUCUCUUCAAACUCUUUUUUUGAAUGGGUGUUCAAAAUUGAAGGCCUUUCCAGAUAUCAAUAUUGGAAGUCUAAAAGCUCUUGAAUUGUUAGAUUUGUCAUAUUGCAAAAACCUUGAGAGUCUUCCGCAUAGUAUUUGUAGUUUGACCUCUCUCCAAACACUUUUGUUGAAUGGGUGUUCAAAACUGAAGGCCUUUCCAGAUAUCAAUAUUGGAAGUCUAAAAGCUCUUAAAUUGUUAGAUUUGUCUUAUUGCAUAUACCUUGAGAGUCUUCCGCACAGUAUUUGUAGUUUGACCUCUCUUCAAACUCUUUUGUUGAAUGGGUGUUCAAAAUUGAAGGCCUUUCCAUGUAUCAAUAUUGGAAGUCUAAAAGCUCUUAAAUUGUUAAAUUUGUCAUAUUGCGAAAACCUUGAGAGUCUUCCGGAUAGUAUUUGUAAUUUGACCUCUCUUCAAACUCUUUUGCUGAAUGGGUGUUCAAAACUGAAGGCCUUUCCAGAUAUCAAUAUUGGAUGUCUAAAAGCCCUUGAAUUGUUAGACUUCUCAUAUUGCAAAAACCUUGAGAGUCUUCCGCACAGUAUUUGUAGUUUGACCUCUCUUCAAACUCUUUUGCUGAAUGGGUGUUCAAAACUAAAGGCUUUUCCAGAUAUCAAUGUUGGAAGUCUAAAAGUUCUAGAAUUGUUAGAUUUGUCAUAUUGCGAAAGCCUUGAGAGUUUUCCGGACAGUAUUUGUAGUUUGACCUCUCUUCAAACUCUUUGGCUGAAUGGGUGUUCAAAACUGAAGGUCUUUCCAGAUGUCAAUAUUGGAAGUCUAAAAGCUCUUGAAUUGUUAGAUUUGUCAUGUUGUAAAAAGCUUGAGAGUCUUCCGAUGAGCAUUUGCAAUUUGAGCUCUCUCAAAACUCUGCGGAUUAAAGAUUGUCCAAAACUCAAGGGAAUAUUAAAGAUGAACCUAGGGGUUGAUUUAUGCUCCUCGAGAUCUUUGAAUCUGACUUGUCACAUUUCAAAUUCAGGAGUAAUCUGGGAUAAUGACUGCUUUUCCUCAUUAAAAGCAUUAAAUCCAUGGUGCCCCCUGUCAUCACUGGUAGAAUUAUCUGUAAGAAACUCUAAUCUCAUGGAACGAGACAUCCUCAGUGCUAGUUUUCGCUUAUCCUCAAUGCAAAUAUUAUCUCUAAGGAACUUCCCUUUGAUGGUAGGAGGAAUCCUUGAUGACAUUUUCCAUCUAUCUUCAUUGGUAGAAUUAUCUCUUAGUGAAUGCAAUCUGAUGGAAGUAGGAACCCUCCAUUAUGUUUGGAACCUAUCUUCACUGCUAAGAUUAUAUCUAAGAAACUGUAAUCUAAUGGAAGGAGAGAUCCCCAAUCAUAUUUGGCACCUAUCAUCAUUG
rnacentral:lncRNA from 1 species